UACAGAGGGUGCGAGCGUUAAUCGGAAUUACUGGGCGUAAAGCGUGCGCAGACGGUUGCGUAAGUCAGAUGUGAAAGCCCCGGGCUCAACCUGGGAAUUGCAUUUGAGACUGCGUAGCUAGGGUGCGGAAGAGGGAAGCGGAAUUUCCGGUGUAGCGGUGAAAUGCGUAGAGAUCGGGAGGAACACCAGUGGCGAAGGCGGCUACCUGGACCAGCACUGACACUGAGGCACGAAAGCGUGGGGAGCAAACAGG
rnacentral:rRNA from 1 species